AACGUUCUUCGGGGUCAGUGUAAAUCUGAGCCGGCGGUUACAGCCCGCGACCCGUCCAGGUAGUUUUCUGGCCGGUUGAAUCUGUGAAAUUCAGAUGCCGACGGUUAAAGUCCGGAUGGGAGAAGAACCGA
rnacentral:ncRNA from 2 species